AACGAACGCUGGCGGCAUGCCUAACACAUGCAAGUCGAACGAGACCUUCGGGUCUAGUGGCGCACGGGUGCGUAACGCGUGGGAACCUGCCCUUAGGUUCGGAAUAACUCCCCGAAAGGGGUGCUAAUACCGGAUAAUGUCUUCGGACCAAAGAUUUAUCGCCUUUGGAUGGGCCCGCGUUGGAUUAGCUAGUUGGUAGGGUAAAAGCCUACCGAGGCGACGAUCCAUAGCUGGUCUGAGAGACUGAUCAGCCACACUGGGACUGAGACACGGCCCAGACUCCUACGGGAGGCAGCAGUGGGGAAUAGUGGACAAUGGGCGAAAGCCUGAUCCAGCAAGGCCGCGUGAGUGAUGAAGGCCUUAGGGUUGUAAAGCUCUUUUACCCGGGAUGAUAAUGACAGUACCGGGAGAAUAAGCUCCGGCUAACUCCGUG
rnacentral:rRNA from 1 species